AUACGGAGGAUCCAAGCGUUAUCCGGAAUCAUUGGGUUUAAAGGGUCCGUAGGUGGAUAAUUAAGUCAGGGGUGAAAGUCUGCAGCUCAACUGUAGAAUUGCCUUUGAUACUGGUUAUCUUGAAUUAUUAUGAAGUAGUUAGAAUAUGUAGUGUAGCGGUGAAAUGCAUAGAUAUUACAUAGAAUACCAAUUGCGAAGGCAGAUUACUAAUAAUCAAUUGACACUGAUGGACGAAAGCGUGGGGAGCGAACAGGAUUAGAUACCCUGGUAGUCCACGCCGUAAACGAUGGAUACUAGCUGUUCGGAUUUAUCUGAGUGGCUAAGCGAAAGUGAUAAGUAUCCCACCUGGGGAGUACGUUCGCAAGAAUGAA
rnacentral:rRNA from 1 species